rnacentral:rRNA from 1 species
UGGCGGCCUUAGCGCGGUGGUCCCACCUGACCCCAUGCCGAACUCAGAAGUGAAACGCCGUAGCGCCGAUGGUAGUGUGGGGUCUCCCCAUGGGAGAGUAGGGAACUGCCAGGCA